rnacentral:rRNA from 2 species
UGGGGGAUAACGUAGGGAAACUUACGCUAAUACCGCAUACGACCUUCGGGUGAAAGCAGGGGACCUUCGGGCCUUGCGCGGAUAGAUGAGCCGAUGUCGGAUUAGCUAGUUGGCGGGGUAAAGGCCCACCAAGGCGACGAUCCGUAGCUGGUCUGAGAGGAUGAUCAGCCACACUGGAACUGAGACACGGUCCAGACUCCUACGGGAGGCAGCAGUGGGGAAUAUUGGACAAUGGGCGCAAGCCUGAUCCAGCCAUACCGCGUGGGUGAAGAAGGCCUUCGGGUUGUAAAGCCCUUUUGUUGGGAAAGAAAAGCAGUCGGCUAAUACCCGGUUGUUCUGACGGUACCCAAAGAAUAAGCACCGGCUAACUUCGUGCCAGCAGCCGCGGUAAUACGAAGGGUGCAAGCGUUACUCGGAAUUACUGGGCGUAAAGCGUGCGUAGGUGGUUGUUUAAGUCUGUUGUGAAAGCCCUGGGCUCAACCUGGGAAUUGCAGUGGAUACUGGGCGACUAGAGUGUGGUAGAGGGUAGUGGAAUUCCCGGUGUAGCAGUGAAAUGCGUA